GACUCCGCACUCGGUGAUCCGUGUGUGAAGCACACCAUCCUGGAUCAGCCCUGGAGGAGCACGGACUGCUCCAGCACAAACGGUCAAUGGAUGUCUGACAAAAAUCUGAAGGAAGGAUGGUACCGAUUCAGCAGUUCUGGUGGACGGAAGAUUCCUGAGACCGUCAUCCCAGUGGGUCGCUGCUCUGGGAAGAGCCCAGGCUGGUUAAACGGUUCCCAUCCCACCACGACAGAGGGGGAGGUGACGAGGAGAGUUUGUUUCAUCGGGGAUGGAAGCAGCGGGGAUGAGAGCAACGG